UUUUGCAAUUUUGCAUUUUGCACAGAGUUGCGCAGGUUUUCUACGAUAUACAAAAGCUGCGCAAUACAGUUAACGACAUCGAUAGUUGUCGGUAAGCGUGUACAGAAUUGAGGCCCUGUACUCCAUCGUCUUCUUCUGCGCAGAAGUAUAGUGGAAGAAUGCGCGUUUCCGGUAGUGUCAAGCGCGGAAGAUACGCGGCGCUGCCGGAUAAGAUGUUGCGGAGACGCGGUGUCGCAUUGUCGCGACAGAUAGUUUUUUGUUUAACCGUCCACAUUACGCAUUGUGUUAUUUCGAGCCCAGCUGUGAGUACUGUCGGAGAGAGAAAUACUUUUCACUAAGGAUUUUCAGGAAAGUUUGGCUAUCAUCAGCAACGGAAAGUUCUAAAGGAUAAGUAACUAUGAAACCAAUAAAACGUUCAAUUUCUCGAAAAUGCUUGAAUAUUUUAUCCGUUAGACAAAGAAGGAGAAUUAUUAUUGAAAUUAAGACCAACUUGCGAUCUAAGAAAUAUUCAAGAGAUUACUCGAGACAGUCAAAUAAAAUUACAAUUAUUCAAGAUGCAAAAAAUCUCUCAUAUGUGCAACCUAAUCUUCUUACAUGCAAUGAAGGAAAUGACAUUCACAAUAAUAAUAUAAGUGCUAUAAAUGUGCAAGAUGAUAUUUCUUUUGAUCUUUCUUCUGAUAAUGAUAAUCGUUCUUCUGAUAAUUGCUCAUCAGUCAGUACUUUCUCAAAUAAACUAUUAUUUCGAGAAAGACUUGCAUCCUGUUUUGUAGAAAAUAAUUUAAGUCAUGUGCAGGUAAACAGUAUUCUAUUACUUCUUAGAACACAUCCUUGUUUUCACAGCUUACAAAAAGAUACAAGAACGCUUUUGAGUACUCCAUGAAAUAAAAUUAUAUAAAGUAGAACCAGAUGUUAAGAGAAUAUUUGCCAACGGAGGUAUAAGUCAUGAUGAUAGUAAGAUACCAUUACAGUUAAGAUGUUUUACAGCUGAUGCGCCAGCUCGUGCUUUUUGAAUCAUCGAGGCCAUACAUCCAAACAGCCAUGCUCCAAAUAUAAAGUUAAUGGCCAACGAUGUGAGAUGAAGGUCAUCAUAAAGAAGGAAAAAGUCUGUUGUCAAUGUUACCGAUAAGAUUGGUUACACAGGUUCCAUUUGAAUAUAUGCACCUGGUGUGCCUUGGAGUAAUGAAGAAAUUGUUGCAUGGGUCCUAUUGUUACAUACGGUAUUCUUAAUCAGCAAGUGUACACACACUUUUUAUUGCUCCAUGCAGCAAUAAGGAUUUUAGUUUCAACGUCAUCGUCAAAAAUAUACCUGAAUUUCGCAGAAGUAGCGUUGCAAAAGUUUGUUGAGAGAUGUGAAAAUAUGUACGGUUCAACAUUCAAUUCCUACAAUAUUCACGGUCUCCUUCAUAUUGCAAAUGAUGUGCGGCAACUAGGUCCUCUUGAUUCAUUUUUUGCCUUCCCAUAUGAAAAUAAUAUGACAAUUUUCCGAAAGUGUUGUAGAAAACCUGAUCUUCCUCUGCAGCAAAUUUCAAAUAGAAUGGCAGAGAUAGAAGCAAAUACAGCAACUGAUUAUUUGAGCACGGAUUCAACAAUCCGCGUGUUCAGGGAGCAUAACGUAAAUGGACCGUCUAAAACGACCCAUAAUAAAACCAUCGACAUAUCAGACUACUUCUUCUGACGAGUCACCCCGGAAGAGGUCAAUGGAUACUGCAGGGAAACAAAAGGACAUUGGCAAAACCUUGGAAGAGGAUAUAAGGGAGUUGAGAGGAAUUCUUCAGGAGAAUUCCUCAUAUAAUAUUCAUAAUACUAAUAAUGAUAGUAAUAAUCAGACGUACACUCCUCAUGUAUGCGGAAUACAAACACACAUACCCAUUCAAACGCAAUAUCUACCCCAACAAAACUCUACACAAUAUGUAACAUUGCAAACAUCUACACAUAUAGAAUCACAAUAUACACCCAUUCACACAGAACAUGCAUCUACAACGUACCGAUAUGACAUGUCUGAAAACAGCAGUAAUACAGGGUGAAGAAAAAACCACGGGACCCCUGAAAAUUUCGA